GAUGAACGCUGGCGGCGUGCUUAACACAUGCAAGUCGAACGAAGCACUUUAUUUGAUUUCCUUCGGGACUGAUUAUUUUGUGACUGAGUGGCGGACGGGUGAGUAACGCGUGGGUAACCUGCCUUGUACAGGGGGAUAACAGUUGGAAACGGCUGCUAAUACCGCAUAAGCGCACAGCAUCGCAUGAUGCAGUGUGAAAAACUCCGGUGGUAUAAGAUGGACCCGCGUUGGAUUAGCUAGUUGGUGAGGUAACGGCCCACCAAGGCGACGAUCCAUAGCCGACCUGAGAGGCUGACCGGCCACAUUGGGACUGAGCCACGGCCCAAACUCCUACGGGAGGCAGCAGUGGGGAAUAUUGCACAAUGGGCGAAAGCCUGAUGCAGCGACGCCGCGUGAGCGAAGAAGUAUUUCGGUAUGUAAAGCUCUAUCAGCAGGGAAGAUAAUGACGGUACCUGACUAAGAAGCACCGGCUAACUACGUG
rnacentral:rRNA from 1 species